rnacentral:rRNA from 1 species
AUGGGAGACCUUAAUGAUAUUUUGUAUGAUACAGAUGGCUGCAAUGGUAGUGUAAAUUAUUUUCGUAUGUCUGCUUUUCGUUCUAUUGUCAAAAACGGUGGUUUCUUUGACAUCGGUUUUAGUGGUCCUGCUUACACUUGGCGCAAUAGACAGCACACUGUUAAUCCUAUUUACAGACGUUUGGAUCGUUGUCUUGUUAAUGCUGAUUGGUGUGCUCAUUACCCCAAUACUAAGGUGCUUAAUUUACCUAUCAUCGUUAGUGACCAUGCUCCCAUACUUAUUUCUACUGAUGGUAGUUUUGUUAAACCUAAGCAGACUUUCAAAUUUAAAAAUUGGUGGUUAAUGGAGAAGGAUUUC